AUUGAACGCUGGCGGCAGGCCUAACACAUGCAAGUCGAACGAGAGGCGGACGGGUGAGUAAUGUCUGGGAAACUGCGCGAGGGAGGGGGAUAAAUACUGGAAACGGUAGCUCAUACCGCAUACCAUCGGAGGUGACCAGAUGGGAUUAGCUAGUAGGUGGGGUAACGGCUCACCUAGGCGACGAUCCCUAGCUGGUCUGAGAGGAUGACCAGCCACACUGGAACUGAGACACGGUCCAGACGCCUACGGGAGGCAGCAGUGGGGAAUAUUGCACAAUGGGCGCAAGCCUGAUGCAGCCAUGCCGCGUGUAUGAAGAAGGCCUUCGGGUUGUAAAGUACUUUCAGCGAGGAGGCGUUACUCGCAGAAGAAGCACCGGCUAACUCCGUGCCAGCAGCCGCGGUAAUUC
rnacentral:rRNA from 1 species